AUACUGAUAAUGACAGUAUAUAUAUACCGUCUUGACUAAUUGCGUGCCAGCAGUCGCGGUAAUACGUAAGAGACUAGAGUUAUUCAUCUUAAUUAGGUUUAAAGGGUACCUAAACGGUCAAUAUAUCUUGUAAAAAUGUUAAUAUAUGACUAGAGUUUUCUAUGUAAGGGGGCAGUACUUGAGGAGGAGAGAUAAAAUUUCGUGAUACCAAAGGGACUCGGUAAAGGCGCAGGCAGCCCUUUAUGUAAAAACUGACGUUGAGGGACGAAGGCAUAGAUAACAAAAAGGAUUAGAUACCCAAGUAGUCUUUGCAGUAAAUUAUGAAUGCCAUGGGUUGAAUAAAUUUAUUCAAACUAUAAAUGAAAGUGUAAGCAUUUCACCUCAAGAGUA
rnacentral:rRNA from 1 species